rnacentral:rRNA from 1 species
AGUGGCGAAAGGGCGAGUAAUACGAUCGAACGUACCCUGAGGUAGAGGAUAGGUACCGGAAACGGUGCGUAAUACUCUAUGAUCUCUCCGGAGCAAAGCUACGGCGCCUUGGGAGCGGCGAUCGUCCUAUCAGGUAGUUGGUGAGGUAAUGGCUCACCAAGCCGAAGACGGGUAGCGGGUGUGAGAGCAUGACCCGCCGCAUCGGGACUGAGACACUGCCCGGACUCCUACGGGAGGCUGCAGUAACGAAUAUUCCGCAAUGCGCGAAAGCGUGACGGAGCAAUGCCGCGUGCAGGAUGAAGCGGUUUCGCCGUGUAAACUGCUGUCAGGGGCUACUAAUCAUGAAGAGCCCCAGAGGAAGGGCCGGCUAAUCUCGUGCCAGCAGCCGCGGUAAUACGAGAGGCCCGAGCGUUAAUCGGAAUCACUGGGCUUAAAGGGUGCGUAGGCGGGCUCGCAAGCGUCUUGUGAAAUCCCACGGCUCAACCGUGGAACUGCAGGGCGAACUGCGAGCCUUGAGGGAGCUAGAGGCCGGUGGAACGAUAGGUGGAGCGGUGGAAUGCGUAGAUAUCUAUCGGAACGCCAAAGGUGAAGACAGCCGGCUGGGGCUUUCCUGACGCUGAGGCACGAAAGCGUGGGGAGCAAACAGGAUUAGAUACCCUGGUAGUCCACGCCCUAAACGAUGCGCACUAGACCGAU